UGGGGAAUAUUGCACAAUGGGCGCAAGCCUGAUGCAGCCAUGCCGCGUGUAUGAAGAAGGCCUUCGGGUUGUAAAGUACUUUCAGCGGGGAGGAAGGGAGUAAAGUUAAUACCUUUGCUCAUUGACGUUACCCGCAGAAGAAGCACCGGCUAACUCCGUGCCAGCAGCUGCGGUAAUACGGAGGGUGCAAGCGUUAAUCGGAAUUACUGGGCGUAAAGCGCACGCAGGCGGUUUGUUAAGUCAGAUGUGAAAUCCCCGGGCUCAACCUGGGAACUGCAUCUGAUACUGGCAAGCUUGAGUCUCGUAGAGGGGGGUAGAAUUCCAGGUGUGGCGGUGAAAUGCGUAGAGAUCUGGGGGAAUACCGGUGGCGAAGGCGGCCCCCUGGACGAAGACUGACGCUCAGGUGCGAAAGCGUGGGGAGCAAACAGG
rnacentral:rRNA from 1 species